rnacentral:lncRNA from 1 species
UUUUAAUAAAAAGAAAGAUCAACGGCUACAUGUCUAAAAACACGCGAGAUGCUUUUCAACUACUAAGUUGAUAGUAUUGAGAAAGAUAAAAUUGAAUAAUAAGCGGGUUGUAGCAAAAAUGAAAUUAUAUAAACGCAUUCUAAAUGUAUAGUAAAGAUAAAAGCAGCAAUAACUAAUGCAUGUACACCUCUGCAAAAGAUAUAUAUUUACAAAUAAAGUUCCAAAUCCAAUGGCUUCAUGCCUUCAUGAGUGUAUGUUAGAAGCAUUGUUUGUUGCACUAACUCAAUCAGUCAAAAGCAGCAGUAAGUAAUGCAUUUAGAACUCAGCAAAACAUAUAUAUUUACAAAUCACAUAAAGUUCCACUAACUCAAAUCAGUCAAAAGAAGCAGCAGCAGUAAGUAAUGGACUUACAUCUCAGCAAAAUCAGUCAAAAGAAGCAGCAGCAGUAAGUAAUGCACUUACAUCUCAGCAAAAUCAGUCAAAAGCAGCAGCACCAAGUAAUGCAUUUACACCUCAUCACUAAGUCAAUCAAUCAAAACUAGGAUGGUCAUAUAAGACUGGAAAAGAUGCAUAUAUUUCUAUCCCAAAAGAAUUGUCUCCUCUCUUGAUUUUUACAUAGCCUCCGUCACCAAAUCCUG